CCCUUAGAUGUUCUGGGCCGCACGCGUGCUACACUGAGUGGAUCAGCGGGUCAGGUUGCGCGAAAGUGUUUCCUAAUCUUGAAAUCCGCUCGUGAUGGGGAUUGACGGUUGCAAUUUUCCGUCAUGAACGAGGAAUACCUUGUAAGCGCGGGUCAUCAUCCCGCGCUGAAUACGUCCCUGCCCUUUGUACACACCGCCCGUCGCUCCUACCGAUUGGAUGGUCCGGUGAAGCCUCGGGAUUGUGGUUCUUGCCGCUUUAUUGUGGCGUGACCGCGAGAACUUGUCUAAACCUUAUCAUCUAGAGGAAGGUGAAGUCGUAACA
rnacentral:rRNA from 1 species